GUGCCUAAUACAUGCAAGUAGAACGCUGAAGAGAGGAUUUUGCUCUUCUUGGAUGAGUUGCGAACGGGUGAGUAACGCGUAGGUAACCUGCCUUGUAGCGGGGGAUAACUAUUGGAAACGAUAGCUAAUACCGCAUAACAAUGGAUGACACAUGUCAUUUAUUUGAAAGGGGCAAAUGCUCCACUACAAGAUGGACCUGCGUUGUAUUAGCUAGUAGGUGAGGUAACGGCUCACCUAGGCGACGAUACAUAGCCGACCUGAGAGGGUGAUCGGCCACACUGGGACUGAGACACGGCCCAGACUCCUACGGGAGGCAGCAGUAGGGAAUCUUCGGCAAUGGGGGCAACCCUGACCGAGCAACGCCGCGUGAGUGAAGAAGGUUUUCGGAUCGUAAAGCUCUGUUGUAAGUCAAGAACGAGUGUGAGAGUGGAAAGUUCACACUGUGACGGUAGCUUACCAGAAAGGGACGGCUAACUACGUGCCAGCAGCCGCGGUAAUACGUAGGUCCCGAGCGUUGUCCGGAUUUAUUGGGCGUAAAGCGAGCGCAGGCGGUUUGAUAAGUCUGAAGUUAAAGGCUGUGGCUCAACCAUAGUUCGCUUUGGAAACUGUCAAACUUGAGUGCAGAAGGGGAGAGUGGAAUUCCAUGUGUAGCGGUGAAAUGCGUAGAUAUAUGGAGGAACACCGGUGGCGAAAGCGGCUCUCUGGUCUGUAACUGACGCUGAGGCUCGAAAGCGUGGGGAGCGAACAGGAUUAGAUACCCUGGUAGUCCACGCCGUAAACGAUGAGUGCUAGGUGUUGGAUCCUUUCCGGGAUUCAGUGCCGCAGCUAACGCAUUAAGCACUCUGCCUGGGGAGUACGACCGCAAGGUUGAAACUCAAAGGAAUUGACGGGGGCCCGCACAAGCGGUGGAGCAUGUGGUUUAAUUCGAAGCAACGCGAAGAACCUUACCAGGUCUUGACAUCCCGAUGCUAUUUCUAGAGAUAGAAAGUUACUUCGGUACAUCGGUGACAGGUGGUGCAUGGUUGUCGUCAGCUCGUGUCGUGAGAUGUUGGGUUAAGUCCCGCAACGAGCGCAACCCCUAUUGUUAGUUGCCAUCAUUCAGUUGGGCACUCUAGCGAGACUGCCGGUAAUAAACCGGAGGAAGGUGGGGAUGACGUCAAAUCAUCAUGCCCCUUAUGACCUGGGCUACACACGUGCUACAAUGGUUGGUACAACGAGUUGCGAGUCGGUGACGGCAAGCUAAUCUCUUAAAGCCAAUCUCAGUUCGGAUUGUAGGCUGCAACUCGCCUACAUGAAGUCGGAAUCGCUAGUAAUCGCGGAUCAGCACGCCGCGGUGAAUACGUUCCCGGGCCUUGUACACACCGCCCGUCACACCACGAGAGUUUGUAACACCCGAAGUCGGUGAGGUAACCUUUUGGAGCCAGCCGCCUAAGGUGGGAUAGAUGAUUGGG
rnacentral:rRNA from 1 species